rnacentral:rRNA from 1 species
CGGCGGACGGGUGAGUAACGCGUGGGUAACCUGCCUCAUACAGGGGGAUAACAGUUGGAAACGGCUGCUAAUACCGCAUAAGCGCACAGUACCGCAUGGUACGGUGUGAAAAACUCCGGUGGUAUGAGAUGGACCCGCGUCUGAUUAGGUAGUUGGUGGGGUAACGGCCUACCAAGCCGACGAUCAGUAGCCGACCUGAGAGGGUGACCGGCCACAUUGGGACUGAGACACGGCCCAA